rnacentral:rRNA from 1 species
AUUGAACGCUGGCGGCAGGCCUAACACAUGCAAGUCGAACGAGUGGCGGACGUGUGAGUAAUGUCUGGGAAACUGCCUGAUGGAGGGGGUUAACUACUGGAAACGGUAGCUAAUACCGCAUACCAUCGGAUGUGCCCAGAUGGGAUUAGCUAGUAGGUGGGGUAAAGGCUCACCUAGGCCACGAUCCCUAGCUGGUCUGAGAGGAUGACCAGCCACACGGGAACUGAGAAACGGUCCAGACUACAACGGGGGGCAGCAGUGGGGAAUAUUGCACAAUGGGCGAAAGCCUGAUGCAGCCAUGCCGCGUGUAUGAAGAAGGCAUUCGGGUUGUAAAGUACUUUCAGCGGGGAGGCGUUACCCGCAGAAGAAGCACCGGCUAACUCCGUGCCAGCAGCCGCGGUAAUUC